rnacentral:sRNA from 1 species
UUUAAACUGGAAGUCUCAUUAGAAGGAUUCAGUAAAUGCAGUGCUUUUAACGGCUAAGAGAUUGAGCUACCCUAAACUGUUUCACCAACAUGCCUCAACUCUGACCUGGAAGGACCACCUAUAGGGGAGAAAGGUGGUUCAACUUCCAGGCUCAUUGAAUCAUUUGUCUUU